rnacentral:rRNA from 1 species
CGCGUAGGCGGUUUGGUAAGUCAGAUGUGAAAGCCCGGGGCUUAACCUCGGAAGUGCAUUUGAUACUGCAAGACUUGAGUAUGGGGAGGGGGAAGUGGAAUUCCUGGUGUAGAGGUGAAAUUCGUAGAUAUCAGGAGGAACACCAGUGGCGAAGGCGACUUCCUGGACCAAUACUGACGCUGAGGCGCGAAGGCGUGGGGAGCAAACA